GGCUCUGUGGUGGAACUGGCAAACACGAGUGACUCAAAAUCACUUGCCGCAAGGUGUAAGGGUUCAAAUCCCUUCAGAGCCA
rnacentral:tRNA from 1 species